rnacentral:rRNA from 1 species
GACGAACGCUGGCGGCGUGCUUAACACAUGCAAGUCGAACGGAAAGGCCUCUUUCGGGGGGUACUCGAGUGGCGAACGGGUGAGUAACACGUGAGUAACCUGCCCUUGACUUUGGGAUAACUUCAGGAAACUGGGGCUAAUACCGGAUAGGAGCUCCUGCUGCAUGGUGGGGGUUGGAAAGUUUCGGCGGUUGGGGAUGGACUCGCGGCUUAUCAGCUUGUUGGUGGGGUAGUGGCUUACCAAGGCUUUGACGGGUAGCCGGCCUGGGAGGGUGACCGGCCACAGUGGGACUGGGAUACGGCCCAGACUCCUACGGGAGGCAGCGGUGGGGAAUGUUGCACAAUGGGUGGAGGCCUGAUGCAGCAACGCCGUGUGCGGGAUGACGGCCUUCGGGUUGUAAACCGCUUUCGCUCAUGACGAAGCUUUGUGUGACGGUAGUGGGUAAAGAAGCACCGGCUAACUACGUG